UUACUACCUCUUUGCUCUCUCUCAGGUGAGACCAUGGCCAGUAUAUUACCUACCUCUUUGCUCUCUCUCAGGUGAGACCAUGGCCAGAAAAUUACUACCUCUUUGCUCUCUCUCAGGUGAGACCAUGGCCAGUAUAUUACCUACCUCUUUGCUCUCUCUCAGGUGAGACCAUGGCCAGUAUAUUAUCUACCUCUUUGCUCUCUCUCAGGUGAGACCAUGGCCAGUAUAUUAUCUACCUCUUUGCUCUCUCUCAGGUGAGACCAUGGCCAGUAUAUUACCUACCUCUUUGCUCUCUCUCAGGUGAGACCAUGGCCAGUAUAUUACCUACCUCUUUGCUCUCUCUCAGGUGAGACCAUGGCCAGUAUAUUACCUACCUCUUUGCUCUCUCUCAGGUGAGACCAUGGCCAGAAAAUUACUACCUCUUUGCUCUCUCUCAGGUGAGACCAUGGCCAGUAUAUUACCCACCUCCUGUCUCUCUCAGGUGAGACCAUGGCCAGUAUAUUACCCACCUCCUGUCUCUCUCAGACUCGUCCCACUACCAAGCAAGCAAGAGUUUCUCCAGGAACAUCAGUGCAAAGGGCUUGGGCUGGAACAUGCGUUCAAACUGGGUGAAGAUGGCUCGGCGUGCCCCGGACCAUUUCCCUGGGCCGGUGAUACGGUAUUGGUAGGCAGUGACGGGACCCCACAGAAUCCUCUUGAAUAGGGGGUAGUCAGUGAAGAA